GAUGAACGCUGGCGGCGUGCCUAAUACAUGCAAGUCGAGCGAAAGGACGCGAAGCUUGCUUUUCUGAUGUUAGCGGCGGACGGGUGAGUCACACGUGGAUAACCUACCUAUCAGACUGGGAUAACUUCGGGAAACCGGAGCUAAUCCCGGAUAAUAUUCUGAACCGCGUGGUUCAAAAGUGAAAGACGGUCUUGCUGUCACUUCUCGCUGGAUCCGAGCUGCAUUAGCUGGUUGGUAAGGUAAAGGCUUACGAAGGGAAGGAUGCAUAGCCGACCGGCUAGAGUGAUCGGCCACACGGGAACGGAGACACGGACCAUACUCCUGCGGGAGGCAGCAGUAUGGAAUCUGCCGCAAUGGUCGAAAGCCUUACGGAGCAACGCGACGUGAGUUAUGGAGGUCUUCGGAGCGGAAAACUCUGUUAUGAGUGAAGAACAGAUGUGUAAGGAGCUGUACACAGCGUGACGGUACCUAGUCAGAAAGCCACGGCUAACUACGUG
rnacentral:rRNA from 1 species